CCCGCACAAGCGGUGGAGCAUGUGGUUAAUUCGAAGCAACGCGAAGAACCUUACCAGGUCUUGACAUCCCGAUGCUAUUUCUAGAGAUAGAAAGUUACUUCGGUACAUCGGUGACAGGUGGUGCAUGGUUGUCGUCAGCUCGUGUCGUGAGAUGUUGGGUUAAGUCCCGCAACGAGCGCAACCCCUAUUGUUAGUUGCCAUCAUUCAGUUGGGCACCCUAGCGAGACUGCCGGUAAUAAACCGGAGGAAGGUGGGGAUGACGUCAAAUCAUCAUGCCCCUUAUGACCUGGGCUACACACGUGCUACAAUGGUUGGUACAACGAGUUGCGAGUCGGUGACGGCGAGCUAAUCUCUUAAAGCCAAUCUCAGUUCGGAUUGUAGGCUGCAACUCGCCUACAUGGAGUCGGAAUCGCUAGUAAUCGCGGAUCAGCACGCCGCGGUGAAUACGUUCCCGGGCCUU
rnacentral:rRNA from 1 species